rnacentral:rRNA from 1 species
UACGGGGGGAGCAAGCGUUGUUCGGAUUUACUGGGCGUAAAGGGCGCGUAGGCGGCCACUGCAAGUCGGUUGUGAAAUCUCCGGGCUUAACCCGGAAAGGUCAAUCGAUACUGCAGGGCUAGAGUGCAGAAGGGGCAACUGGAAUUCUCGGUGUAGCGGUGAAAUGCGUAGAUAUCGAGAGGAACACCAGUGGCGAAGGCGGCUAUCUGGACGGUUUCUGACGCUAAGGAGCGAAAGCGUGGGGAGCGAACAGG